rnacentral:siRNA from 1 species
CUGGAGCGUACCGACAUGCGGUG